UACGUAGGGACCAAGCGUUGUUCGGAUUUACUGGGCGUAAAGGGCGCGUAGGCGGCUUGUCAAGUCACUUGUGAAAUCUCUGGGCUUAACCCAGAACGGCCAAGUGAAACUGACAUGCUAGAGUGCAGAAGGGGCAAUCGGAAUUCUUGGUGUAGCGGUGAAAUGCGUAGAUAUCAAGAGGAACACCUGAGGUGAAGACGGGUUGCUGGGCUGACACUGACGCUGAUGCGCGAAAGCCAGGGGAGCGAACGGG
rnacentral:rRNA from 1 species